GCAAAAAGUAGGGUAAGGACGAACAGAC
rnacentral:piRNA from 1 species